UAAAGUACAAACAAUGGCGGAUUAUAGGGGGACGAAGGCGGAAAAAGUGGCCCAUCCCAAAGCUAUGGCCUUGGGGACCUCCAAAUGCCUCAGUUUUUCAUAUCCAUAUUCUAUGUAUGUUUAUUUAAGAAUUUUAACGAAGGGAGACUUUGUACAAAAGUCGUUAGCUUGAGCAUCUCUGUCCCAUUCGUGUUUCUACCUUGAAACAGUCAUGUUUCGGUUUAAAGGGUGGGAUAUAGUAGUGAAUUUACAGGGUACAGAGGAAUAACACCUGAGUCCUCAGGAACGGCAACACAUGAGAAGAAUGGGCGAAAAAGUAUACUCUGUUAUGUCCAUGGUACUGAUCAUGCCUAUAGGCGACAAUUACCACUUUUCAUCAUGUGGUUAGUCAGCUUAUUUGCCAUUCUAAGUUGCAUAAAAAAAAGCCAAUGGCCCCGGGGACCUCCAAAUGCCUCCAUUUUCCAUAUCCAUAUUCAAUGUGUGUUUAUUUAAGUCUAUUUUAAAUUUCACAUUUAUACAUACAAAUGUGAAUUGAAAGUUGGGGGCAUCAUUCAGCAAUAAAGGCCCAGGCCUCUGACGAGCUUAGUUUGAAAGUGUCAAAUAAACUUGUUUUACAAGUUUAUUGGACACUUUGGCUAGUCACUUAAAAAGAUUAUGCGUUUGUAUAUUUCUGUCACUUUUCAUUCAGUAGGCGAUCAAUUAGUAAAAUAUUUGUUAACUAUUAGGUAUUUUCUCAUUUGUCCAACCAAACUUUACGUAAUCCAAGUUAUGGACUUUACGUAAUACUUUACCGUCUAAAAGUAGAUAUUUGAGAUUGAGACCAUAGGCGUAUUUAGAUGAGGACUGAGCGGAACAUGACCACCCCAAGAUAAGAAGAGCUCUCAGUUAUAAGCGAAGACAAGUUGGAGAACGCGUGACCCACCAGCAAGAGAGAUAAGGAUUAAAAUAAUUCCAGUACCUGAUAUAAAUUGAUGCCAAGUGUCAAGGCCUCGCCACAAAAUUAUCUUAUCGACUCAAAACAAGCUCUCCUAUAGACAAAAAAUAUCUCGCCUAGAACUCAUUUGUAUACAAAUAAAUAUAAAUAUGUACUUCAGA